ACCACCCAGGCUUGGGACUCUCUGUGACAAGUCUGGUUUAAACUGCUCUCUGCUUUAUUCCCACUUCUCUGAAGCUUCCUCAUCCUUCAUACGACUGACCCUGGAGCUGAAGGCCAGGUUUUGCAGUGAUCUGAGUCACUCAGCCCUAAACCAGGUGUGUUCCAAUUUCCUCUACUAUAUGUGCCUCAACCUUCUCUCAGCUCCAGAGAAGACAGGACCACCUUCCAAAGAAGAACUCUCUGCAGUGUCUGAGCUCCUGCAGCAUGGGCUGCCCCAGAUAAGCAGCAGGAGCCCUGAAAGCCUUGCCUUCCUGUCUGAUCGCCAGUACAUGGAGGGAGCUGCUCGCCAGAGACAGUACUGCAUCCUGCUCCUCUUCUACUUGGCCUACAUCCAUGAAGACAGGUUUGUCUCAGAGGCAGAGUUAUUUGAGGCUGUGCAAAGCUUCCUCCUGUCUCUGCAGGACCAGGGCGAGCGCCCCCCACUGGUGGUCUUCAAAGCCUCCAUCUAUCUGCUUGCAAUCUGCCAGGACAAAGACAAUACACUACGUGAGACUAUGGUCAGUGCAAUCAGA
rnacentral:sRNA from 1 species